rnacentral:rRNA from 1 species
UCAUGGCUCAGGACGAACGCUGGCGGCGUGCUUAACACAUGCAAGUCGAGCGGAAAGGCCUUUCGGGGUACUCGAGCGGCGAACGGGUGAGUAACACGUGGGCAACUUGCCCCUCGCUCUGGGAUAACUCCGGGAAACCGGGGCUAAUACCAGAUAUGACCUUCUUAGGCAUCUUUGAAGGUGGAAAGUUUUUCGGCGAGGGAUGGGCCCGCGGCCUAUCAGCUUGUUGGUGGGGUGAUGGCCUACCAAGGCAGUGACGGGUAGCCGGCCUGAGAGGGCGACCGGCCACACUGGGACUGAGACACGGCCCAGACUCCUACGGGAGGCAGCAGUGGGGAAUAUUGCGCAAUGGGCGAAAGCCUGACGCAGCGACGCCGCGUGAGGGAUGACGGCCUUCGGGUUGUAAACCUCUUUCAGCAGGGACGAAGCGCAAGUGACGGUACCUGCAGAAGAAGCACCGGCCAACUACGUGCCAGCAGCCGCGGUAAUACGUAGGGUGCAAGCGUUGUCCGGAAUUAUUGGGCGUAAAGAGCUCGUAGGCGGCUUGUCACGUCGACUGUGAAAACCCGGGGCUCAACUCCGGGCCUGCAGUCGAUACGGGCUGGCUUGAGUGCGGUAGGGGAGACUGGAAUUCCUGGUGUAGCGGUGAAAUGCGCAGAUAUCAGGAGGAACACCGGUGGCGAAGGCGGGUCUCUGGGCCGUAACUGACGCUGAGGAGCGAAAGCGUGGGGAGCGAACAGGAUUAGAUACCCUGGUAGUCCACGCCGUAAACGUUGGGCGCUAGGUGUGGGGACCUAUCCACGGUCUCCGUGCCGCAGCUAACGCAUUAAGCUGCCCCGCCUGGGGAGUACGGCCGCAAGGCUAAAACUCAAAGGAAU